rnacentral:rRNA from 1 species
UACGGAGGGUGCAAGCGUUAAUCGGAAUUACUGGGCGUAAAGGGUGCGUAGGUGGUUUAUUAAGUUAGCUGUGAAAUACCUGGGCUCAACCUGGGCAGGUCAUCUAAGACUGGUAGACUAGAGUAUAGGAGAGGGUAGUGGAAUUUCCGGUGUAGCGGUGAAAUGCGUAGAGAUCGGAAGGAACACCGGUGGCGAAGGCGGCUACCUGGCCUAAUACUGACACUGAGGCACGAAAGCGUGGGGAGCAAACAGG